rnacentral:rRNA from 1 species
AGCGAACGCUGGCGGCAGGCCUAACACAUGCAAGUCGAACGAACCUUUCGGGGUUAGUGGCGGACGGGUGAGUAACACGUGGGAACGUGCCUUUAGGUUCGGAAUAACUCAGGGAAACUUGUGCUAAUACCGAAUGUGCCCUUCGGGGGAAAGAUUAAUCGCCUUUAGAGCGGCCCGCGUCUGAUUAGCUAGUUGGUUGAGGUAAUGGCUCACCAAGGCGACGAUCAGUAGCUGGUCUGAGAGGAUGAUCAGCCACAUUGGGACUGAGACACGGCCCAAACUCCUACGGGAGGCAGCAGUGGGGAAUCUUGCGCAAUGGGCGAAAGCCUGACGCAGCCAUGCCGCGUGAAUGAUGAAGGUCUUAGGAUUGUAAAAUUCUUUCACCGGGGACGAUAAUGAAGGUACCCGGAGAAGAAGCCCCGGCUAACUUCGUG